GACGAACGCUAGCGGGAUGCCUUACACAUGCAAGUCGAACGGAGUGGCGAACGGGUGAGUAAUGUAUCGGAACGUGCCCAGUAGCGGGGGAUAACUACGCGAAAGCGUAGCUAAUACCGCCUACUUUUGUAGCGGCCGAUAUAGGAUUAGCUAGUUGGUGGGGUAACGGCUCACCAAGGCGACGAUCCGGAGCUGGUUUGAGAGGACGACCAGCCACACUGGGACUUAGAAAAGGCCGAGACGCCUACGGGAGGCAGAAGUAGGGAAUUUUGGACAAUGGGGGAAACCCUGAUCCAGCCAUGCCGCGUGUGCGAUGAAGGCCUUCGGGUUGUAAAGCACUUUUGGCAGGAAAGCGGUACCUGCAGAAUAAGCACCGGCUAACUACGUGCCAGCAGCCGCGGUAAUAC
rnacentral:rRNA from 1 species